UACGUAGGUGGCAAGCGUUGUCCGGAAUUAUUGGGCGUAAAGGGCGUGUAGGUGGAUAAUUAAGUCGUGUGUCUAAGUGCGGGGCUCAACCCCGUAUGGGCGCAGGAAACUGGUUAUCUUGAGUGCAGGAGAGGAAAGUGGAAUUCCCAGUGUAGCGGUGAAAUGCGUAGAUAUUGGGAGGAACACCAGUGGCGAAGGCGACUUUCUGGACUGUGUCUGACACUGAGGCGCGAAAGCUAGGGGAGCGAACGGGAUUAGAUACCCCGGUAGUCCUAGCCGUAAACGAUGGGUACUAGGUGUAGAGGGUAUCGACCCCCUCUGUGCCGCAAGCAAACGCAAUAAGUACCCCGCCUGGGGAGUACGGCCGCAAGGUUGAAACUCAAAGGAAUUGACGGGGGCCCGCACAAGCGGUGGAGUAUGUGGUUUAAUUCGACGCAACGCGAAGAACCUUACCAGGGCUUGACAUUGAGUGAAAAGCUAAGAGAUUAGCUCCUCUCUUCGGAGACACAAAAACAGGUGGUGCAUGGCU
rnacentral:rRNA from 1 species